rnacentral:snRNA from 1 species
UCAUUAAAAUGUCCUAAAGUGUGCUCCCUAAAAUUGGAACGAUACAGAGAAGACUAGCAUGGGCCCUGAGCAAGGAUGACACACAAAUUCAUGAAGCGUUCUAUAUUUUU